UACGGGGGGGGCAAGCGUUGUUCGGAUUUACUGGGCGUAAAGGGCGCGUAGGCGGCAACUCAAGUCAGCUGUGAAAUCUCCGGGCUUAACUCGGAACGGUCAGCUGAUACUGUUUUGCUAGAGUGCGGAAGGGGCAAUCGGAAUUCUCGGUGUAGCGGUGAAAUGCGUAGAUAUCGAGAGGAACACCAGAGGUGAAGACGGGUUGCUGGGCCGACACUGACGCUGACAGCGCGAAAGCCAGGGGAGCAAACGGG
rnacentral:rRNA from 1 species